rnacentral:rRNA from 1 species
UAGUCCACGCCGUAAACGAUGUUCACUCGCUGUUGGCGAUAUACUGUCAGCGGCCAAGCGAAAGCAUUAAGUGAACCACCUGGGGAGUACGAUCGCAAGGUUGAAACUCAAAGGAAUUGACGGGGGCCCGCACAAGCGGUGGAGCAUGUGGAUUAAUUCGAUGAUACGCGAGGAACCUUACCAGGGCUUAAAUGGUUAUUGACCGUCGCCGAAAGGUGUCUUUCUUUUAGACAAUUACCAAGGUGCUGCAUGGCUGUCGUCAGCUCGUGCCGUGAGGUGUUGGGUUAAGUCCCGCAACGAGCGCAACCCUUGUCUCCAGUUGCCAGCACGUAAUGGUGGGGACUCUGGAGAGACUGCCGGCGCAAGCCGUGAGGAAGGUGGGGAUGACGUCAAAUCAUCAUGGCCUUUAUGCCUGGGGCUACACACGUGCUACAAUGGUAGGUACAGAGGGCAGCCAAACCGCGAGGUUGAGCAAAUCCCUUAAAGCCUAUCCCAGUUCGGAUUGG